rnacentral:rRNA from 1 species
GACACCACUCGCCCGCGCCUCUUUUGUUUGGUUCUCCAUUCCGCCGGAAGGGAGAGGGAAGAAAAGGGUGGCGAGGCGGACUCUGAGUGUUCCGGAGCCCAGUCUCAGUGCACCGAAUCUCGUGAGCGAAACCUCUCUUCUGUCUGCGGCCUUCGGUUGCGCAGAGUUGUUGACGGCCCCGCGACCCGCUUUUUUUGGCGGUUCGGCGACUCUCGGCUCGAUAAACGCGCGGCGAAGCGCCUCUAGGGGAGGGGUUGUUGUUUUCCCGGCGGCCCGCCCCAGCGGCCGGCCCUCCGCGUUUUACUACUUUCGUUCG